rnacentral:rRNA from 1 species
GGGCAUUACGAUACUAUGGUGUCUUGGUUGUAGCUGGCUCCUCGGAGCAAUGUGCACGCCCGCCAUUUUUAUCUUUCCACCUGUGCACCGACUGUAGGUCUGGAUACCUCUCGCCCUUCACGGGGCGGAUGCGAGGGUUGCCCGUCACACGGCUCCCCUCGAAUUUCCAGGCUCUACGUCUUUUUACACACCCCAAUAGUAUGAUGCAGAAUGUAGUCAAUGGGCUUCUCAGCCUAUAAAACACUAUACAACUUUCAGCAACGGAUCUCUUGGCUCUCGCAUCGAUGAAGAACGCAGCGAAAUGCGAUAAGUAAUGUGAAUUGCAGAAUUCAGUGAAUCAUCGAAUCUUUGAACGCACCUUGCGCUCCUUGGUAUUCCGAGGAGCAUGCCUGUUUGAGUGUCAUUAAAUUCUCAACCUCACCAGUUUUCUGAACUGUUCUUCGAGGCUUGGAUGUGGGGGUUUGUGCAGGCUGCCUCACGGCGGUCCGCUCCCCUGAAAUGCAUUAGCGAGUUCAUACUGAACUUCCGUCUAUUGGUGUGAUAAUUAUCUACGCCGUGGACGAGGAUCAGACUCGCUUCUAACCGUCCGCGAGGACAAUACCUUGACAAUUUGACCUCAAAUCAGGUAGGACUACCCGCUGAACUUAAGCAUAUCAUAGCCGGGGAGAGAGAGAAC